GAUGAACGCUGGCGGCGUGCCUAAUACAUGCAAGUCGAGCGAACAGACGAGGAGCUUGCUCCUCUGACGUUAUCGGCGGACGGGUGAGUAACACGUGGAUAACCUACCUCUCCGACUGGGAUAACUUCGGGAAACCGUGGCUACUACCGAAUAAUUUAUUGACCUUCAUGGUUCACUCGUUAAAGAAGCUUUUUCUUUCGCUUAUAGAUUACUCAGCCCCGCAUGCGUUUGUUGGUAAGGUAGCGGCUUACCAACGCGACGAUGGGUAACCGACCUGAACGGGAGAACCGACAGCUGGGAAGAGAGAAUCGUCCCAGACACCGACGCGAGGAAGCAGUAGGGAAUCCUCCGCGAUGGAGGAAAGCCUGACAGUGCAACACCGCGUGAGGGAUGAAGGUCUUAGGAUGGUAAAACUAUGUUAUUAGGGAAGAUGAAAUGUUUAAUUAACUAUGCACGUCAUGACGGUACCUAAUCAGAAAGCCACGGCUAACUACGUG
rnacentral:rRNA from 1 species